UUCGGGAAAGUCGCUGUGUGGGCUGAAGCGCUUCGUGCUUGCAGAAUAUUCUCCACGUAUUUACAAGACAGGACUCCAGUGAAGCGACACAGUUCUUACAGUCUGUUCUUAGAGACCACAGGAAAGUGAAAGCCAUGCUUGGAGGGGCGUGGCACUGGUCGCACUGUCAGCCGUAUCCAUAAGAAUAAUAGUGAUCAUCAUCAUCAUCAUCACCACCGUCACUAUGUCCAAUCUAGUACUACUAAUGAUACUAAUCCAUCGAUCCGUCCAUCUCUUCUCUUCCGCUUAUUCAAUUCCGGGAAGCUGUUGAGAACCCACGCAGACACGAGAGAAUGCAAACUCAAUCACAAGGGCCGUGGCCAGAUGGUGGAUUCAAACCUAGGAUAUUCUUCCUGUGCGAUGAUGAACUGUUGUGGUCUGCUAACACUCCAGAAGGAACCAGUUCCUCUGAAGAGCAUUGAGGUGGAGCUGGAGGUGAGGGACCAUGCGGCUACAGUGGUCUCCACUCUGAACUACGAAAACAAGGAGGACAAACCAUUAGAGGCUGUUUUUGUCUUCCCUCUGCCUGGAGAUGCUGCUGUCUGUCAUUUCAGUGCUCAGGUUGGACAGACACAGAUUGUAGCUGAGGUGAAGGAGAAACAGAAGGCUCGUGAGGAGUAUGAUGAUGCUCUGAGCUCCGGUCAGCAGGCCUUCCUAUUGGAGGAGAGUGAUGAGAGUCCAGAUAUAUUCUCUCUGAGUGUGGGCAGUCUGCCUCCAGGAGAGAGCGCCUCCAUCAGGUUGGAGUACGUCAUUGAGCUGGCUGUGCAGGCUGAUGAUGGUCUGAGGUUCUGUCUGCCUGCUGUGCUCAACCCUCGAUACCAACCUCAGGGUAGUGAAGGUGCAGGUGUCCAGGUGACCUCUGUUCCAGCCUCUCUGGUGCCCUACAGUCUGUCUUUUUCUGCCCGAGUCUCCUCUCCUCGUCCAAUCUCUAAAGUAGAGUCCAACUGUUCCCUGGAGCCUCUGCAGUACCUCAACACUGAUCAAACCCAGGCCACGGUCAAGCUGGCUGCAGGACACAAGUUUGACAGAGAUGUUGAACUGCUGAUUUAUUACAAAGACGCCCACCAGCCCACUGCUGUGGUGGAGGCAGGACAGGCCUCUGCUGAGCCGGGCUCUCUGAUGGGUGAUCCAGUGGUGAUGGUGAGUCUGUACCCUGAGUUCCCCCAGUCUGUGAUGUCUUCAAUGGCUUCAAGUGGAGAGUUUGUAUUUCUAUUGGAUCGAUCUGGAAGCAUGAGUAAUACUCGGAUCAGCAGUGCCAAGGAUACUCUGCUCCUCCUGUUGAAGAGCUUACCAAUGGGCUGCUAUUUCAACAUUUACAGUUUUGGGUCCAGAUAUGAACACAUUUUCUCUAAGAGUGUGGAGUACAGCCAGAAGACCAUGGAGGAGGCUCUGAAGAAAGUUGAGGAGAUGGAGGCUGAUCUUGGAGGAACAGAGAUCCUGGAGCCCCUCAAACAUAUUUACAGCCAGCCCUGCAUUCAAAAUCAGCCUAGACAGCUCUUUGUCUUUACUGAUGGAGAGGUGUGGAACACCAAAGAAGUGAUCGAUCUGGUGAAGAAGAACUCAGGCUCCCACAGGUGUUUCUCUUUUGGGAUUGGGGAAGGGGCCAGCUCUGCUCUCAUCAAUGGGAUGGCCAAGGAAGGAGGAGGUCACGCUCAGUUCAUCACAGGGACUGACAGGAUGCAACCAAAAGUGAUGCAGUCGCUGCGAUUUGCUCUGCAGCCAGCUGUGGUCGACAUCUCAGUCACAUGGGAUUUACCAAAGGAAGUGUCUGUCACUGUCCUCUCUCCACCAAUCACAGCACUUUUCCAGGGUCAGAGGUCACUGAUUUAUGCCCAGCUCACUGGACAGAGCUCAGAGGCAGCAGAGGGCUGUGUGACGCUGAAGUACAGCCUGGCAGGUCAUCCCUCUGAGAACCAGCUGCACUUCAGUCUCAGACCUGCAGAGGACACUGGACUAACAGUCCACAGGUUGGGUGCUCGGACUCUGAUUCGUUCUCUGGAGAUGGAGGAGAGAGAAAACAGAGGACAGCAAGAUGGAGGAGUGAAGGAGAAGGUGGUGCAGCUCAGUGUCCAAUCAGGAGUGAGCAGUUCUUUCACUGCCUUCAUUGCUGUCAACAAAGACAACGGAGAGGCGAUCCAAGCACCUCUUGUCCAGAGAAAUAUUCCAAUGUUCCAACAUAUGGUUCCAUACCUAGUAAUGGACAGGGAUUUCUCUUUACAAGAAGAUAAAGAAAUCCCAGAAAGCUCAUCAACCUCAGACCACAGGUGAUACCCAGCAGAAGCUACGCAAAGUCUGUAGGGUUCAAAGAAGAUACAUAAACAGGUGUACCUUUAAGACCCACUAUCUGUAUGAUCAACUCAGCCACCUAUAACAUCUCAUAGUUUCUGGCUUUGGUCUUCAACCCGUUGGUAGACAGCUCUAAACACCACAGCCACACCGCAUCCAGAACUCCUUGGAUUUUGUUUAAGGUGAAAGCUGUCAAUAUGGAGGCACAUACAAGGCUGAGCUGGUGAGUCCAAUCACUGCACCUCAGAUGGUCGUCAUUAACUUGAGGAACCGUCAACUGAGCAGCAGCCAUCUGGACUCCAUGUCCCCCCUGGUCCUCACUCUUUACCAUAACCUGGUGACGGGGUCCAAGGACUUUCCUCACAUAUUGUUUAAAGGAUUGUUCCACCGGGACCAGGUGACGACACCAUUUGUCCAUGUGAGGCAGAGCCAGAGAGAGAACACCACUCCUUCUCCUCCUACGGACUCCCCAGCUGGCAUGAUGCUGCCGCCUGCGGGCUCCAGCUCUCAUCCACGCUUCCUGACUCCAGUUCUUCCAGAGAAAGCGGAUCUUGCUGUGCUGAAGGCAGAUCGGAGGAACUGCGUCCGCACCCUGACUGUCGACGGCCUCCCCGUCACCAGAGUCAUCUCCACUGUUUACCGAACAGAGGACACUGAGAUGACGAACCGCUGGAGAAUAACAGACUACAGCGCAGACGGCAGAGUUCUCACAUCGGUGCUCUGCCGUUUUCUAAAUACGUCGGCAAAGCGUGCUAAGAGGAAGGCUCCGGAGGAAGAGAGCAGCAUCCGGAGCCCGACUCCAGCAAGGAAGCGCUUGAGAAUAUAAUAUACAGUGAAGCAUGUCGAACGUCAGCAAGCCUGAACAAAGUGUCAGGAAAAAGAGUCACGCUGCGAAGAAACACCACACAGAAGCUUUUCCCUCAGUACAAUGACAACUGAGGGUCUUCAGAGCAGCGUGAACGGCCGUCACCUGAGAGCAAGACAGUCCUCGGGCCUUCCCUCCAGACUGGCCACCUGUCCAGGUUGUACCCC